UUUAUAGUUGCAAACAAUCCUGUUUUGUGUACUGUUAUUCCUUGUGAAUGUAAUACUGUGUGAAGGUUUAUAACGUCGUUUCCCCAAGUCUGUUCCUGUUAGGGAAGGUUAUAAUGACUUGCAUGGUGAAGUACUAGGGAAACACUGUGUUUAUGAGCUUUCAUUGUAUUUGCGUUCAUGGCGUGUCCUAUUUUUGUAAGGAAAACAUGUAACAUAAAUGUGGUAUGUACCAGAAGAGGGUCUGUGGUUGAAUCUGUCUAAACCGCUUCUGCCGUGAAGGAAGUUUGUCGGGGUUGGUGAAUAUUUACUACCUAACGUAGAAAAGAGAGAACGAAGAACUGUCAGCCACAUAAACAGAGUUUGAGAUGACCGACGAUCACAGUUCAUAACGAAUCCUGGAUGCUUUUAAAAUAUCAAUACUAUUUCAUUAAGCAUACCUCUCAAGUGUACCUCAUUACGAGGAACGUACCUCAUUUGGAGUUUUAAAAAACUUUUGUUCCUCGAAGUUCUACAUUGAAAGGGCCUGUCAUACAUUCAGUGUUGAGUUUAACUGAUAUCCAAGGAUCGUUGGGACACACAACCUGUCAAUGACAAUCAGCAAGUGGAAGGGAGAGAAACUGAUGGUAAUCGGUUCAAAAAAUGUGUCCUCAGCUGACUUUCGGUGAUACCACUAGCUUUUGCUUACAGUUUUGCUGUGUCCCUUCUAGAAAUUAGCGUUUUGGGGAGAAGAGUUGGCAGAUCACUGUUAAUAAGUACUGGUGAUAAUUAAUAGGCUUUUAUUUUACUUCAGAGAGCAAGCAAAUUCCAUUUUGUACUAGAAGGUCCUAGCGCUACCGUCUUUGACACCUAUCACUUAAAAAUGCUACCUCUCCAGUACUUAAUAAAUGUAGGCAUUAUUUUCAGCUGUUCCUCCCAAAACUUAAAUAAAACAAUAUUGCACCUGU